UACGUAGGGCGCAAGCGUUAUCCGGAAUUAUUGGGCGUAAAGAGCUGGUAGGGGGUUUUUGGGGUCGGCCGUGAAAGUCCGGGGCUCAACUCCGGAUCUGCGGUGGGUACGGGCAGACUAGAGUGAUGUAGGGGAGACUGGAAUUCCUGGUGUAGCGGUGAAAUGCGCAGAUAUCAGGAGGAACACCGGUGGCGAAGGCGGGUCUCUGGGCAACAACUGACGCUGAGGAGCGAAAGCGUGGGGAGCGAACAGG
rnacentral:rRNA from 1 species